rnacentral:rRNA from 1 species
GUGCACGCUGGCGGUAGGCCUAACACCUGCAAGUCGAACGGCAGCACAGUAAGAGCUUGCUCUUACGGGUGGCGAGUGGCGGACAGGUGAGGAAUACAUCGGAAUCUACUUUUUCGUGGGGGAUAACGUAGGGAAACUUACGCUAAUACCGCAUACGACCUACGGGUGAAAGCAGGGGAUCUUCGGACCUUGCGCGAUUGAAUGAGCCGAUGUCGGAUUAGCUAGUUGGCGGGGUAAAGGCCCACCAAGGCGACGAUCCGUAGCUGGUCUGAGAGGAUGAUCAGCCACACUGGAACUGAGACACGGUCCAGACUCCUACGGGAGGCAGCAGUGGGGAAUAUUGGACAAUGGGCGCAAGCCUGAUCCAGCCAUACCGCGUGGGUGAAGAAGGCCUUCGGGUUGUAAAGCCCUUUUGUUGGGAAAGAAAAGCAGCAGGUUAAUACCCCGCUGCUCUGACGGUACCCAAAGAAUAAGCACCGGCUAACUUCGUG